UACGUAGGGGGCUAGCGUUGUCCGGAUUUAUUGGGCGUAAAGAGCUCGUAGGCGGUUUGUCGCGUCUGCUGUGAAAAACUCGGGGGCUUAACCCCGGGCCUGCAGUGGGUACGGGCAGACUAGAGUGCGGUAGGGGAGACUGGAAUUCCUGGUGUAGCGGUGAAAUGCGCAGAUAUCAGGAGGAACACCGGUGGCGAAGGCGGGUCUCUGGGCCGUAACUGACGCUGAGGAGCGAAAGCGUGGGGAGCGAACAGG
rnacentral:rRNA from 1 species